CGGAGGAAAAGAAACCAACAGGGAUUGCCUCAGUAACGGCGAGUGAAGCGGCAAAAGCUCAAAUUUGAAAUCCCCCGGGAAUUGUAAUUUGAAGAGAUUUGGGUCCGGCCGGCGGGGGUUAAGUCCACUGGAAAGUGGCGCCACAGAGGGUGACAGCCCCGUGAACCCCUUCAACGCCUUCAUCCCAGAUCUCCAAGAGUCGAGUUGUUUGGGAAUGCAGCUCUAAGUGGGUGGUAAAUUCCAUCUAAAGCUAAAUACCGGCGAGAGACCGAUAGCGAACAAGUACAGUGAUGGAAAGAUGAAAAGCACUUUGAAAAGAGAGUGAAAAAGUACGUGAAAUUGUUGAAAGGGAAGGGCUUGCAAGCAGACACUUAACUGGGCCAGCAUCGGGGCGGCGGGGAGCAAAACCACUGGGGAAUGUACCUUUCGAGGAUUAUAACCCCGGUCCUUACUCCCUCACCAUCCCGAGGCCUGCAAUCUAAGGAUGCUGGCGUAAUGGUUGCAAGUCGCCCGU
rnacentral:rRNA from 1 species